GUCGUGCUCUGCGCAAGAGGGAAGUCCUGAUUUUUGGGGUGCCACAAGCCUGAGACAAAACAAAUUUCCAUUUUCAACCGGAAUGAAAUUAAGAAAACAGAUAAAAGCCACAUACAAAAUCUCAUUGAGGGUCUUUUUGCUUUUUAACUGUAAAAAUUUACAACUAAAAUGAAAAGUGCCUCGGAAUGAAAUAUUAAAUCCAAGCUGGUGUCUGUCCACCUGUCCUUAGGAAGUCUCAACUUACGAAGUCCACAAAAUUUCUCAAAAAAGAGUUUUAUCACUUUGAAUUUGUCCCCUGCUUAAAAUCCCUCAAAAUAUACAAUAUCUAAUAAAAAUCAGCCUUUUACUUAUAAAAUGAAUUCAUUUAUCAGCA
rnacentral:lncRNA from 1 species